GCACUAGUGGUUUAGUGGUAAAAUUAGCCGUUGCCAUCGGCUAGCCCUCGGUUCGAUUCCGGGCUAGUGCA
rnacentral:tRNA from 1 species